rnacentral:rRNA from 1 species
AUGUACGUACCUACAACAUAGUGUUAAUGCAUUGGAUCCCAUUAUAGAUUUGAAAUUAAGCGCAAUCAGGCUAGAGUAGCACUGGGAUGGGUGACCGCCCAGGAAGUCAUAGUGUUUUACAUG